rnacentral:rRNA from 1 species
UGAUCCUGGCUCAGAACGAACGCUGGCGGCAUGCCUAACACAUGCAAGUCGAACGGGAUCCUGGCUUCGGUCAGGUGAGAGUGGCGGACGGGUGAGUAACGCGUGGGAACCUGCCCAGUGGUGGGGGAUAACUGCGGGAAACUGCAGCUAAUACCGCAUGAUCCCGAGAGGGGAAAGAUUUAUCGCCAUUGGAGGGGCCCGCGUUCGAUUAGGUAGUUGGUGAGGUAAAGGCUCACCAAGCCGACGAUCGAUAGCUGGUCUGAGAGGAUGAUCAGCCACACUGGGACUGAGAUACGGCCCAGACUCCUACGGGAGGCAGCAGUGGGGAAUAUUGGACAAUGGGGGCAACCCUGAUCCAGCAAUGCCGCGUGAGUGAUGAAGGCCUUCGGGUUGUAAAGCUCUUUUGGCGGGGACGAUGAUGACGGUACCCGCAGAAUAAGCCCCGGCUAACUUCGUGCCAGCAGCCGCGGUAAUACGAAGGGGGCAAGCGUUGUUCGGAAUUACUGGGCGUAAAGGGCGCGUAGGCGGCUUACCAAGUCAGGCGUGAAAUUCCCGGGCUCAACCUGGGGGCUGCGCUUGAUACUGGUGAGCUUGAAUACGGGAGAGGAUAGUGGAAUUCCCAGUGUAGAGGUGAAAUUCGUAGAUAUUGGGAAGAACACCGGUGGCGAAGGCGGCUAUCUGGCCCGUUAUUGACGCUGAGGCGCGAAAGCGGUGGGGAGCAAACAGGAUUAGAUACCCUGGUAGUCCACGCCGUAACGAUGAAUGCUAGACGUUGGCGAGCAUGCUCGUCAGUGUCGCAGCUAACGCAUUAAGCAUUCCGCCUGGGGGAGUACGGUCGCAAGAUUAAAACUCAAAGGAAAUUGACGG